rnacentral:lncRNA from 1 species
AAUACACAAGACAACACACACUUGACAGUUCAUGGCAGCAGCUCACAUGGGACAUGCCUGUGGGUGUUUCUGGAAGCAUAAGACUGCUGUCUCAUUUGCUACUUUGAUAAGGUACUUCUCAGUUGGACAGAUUUAGAUAUAAGAGACAUCUCUGUAAACACAGAAAAGGAUAUACCAAUAUGAUGAAGAUAUGCAGCUAGAUAAGGAC